rnacentral:rRNA from 1 species
AUGCAGUGGUACUUCGUGGCGGCGCUCCUCACCGUCCUCACCAGCUCGCAGGGUAUAUGGACCACGCUCUCUCAGAGCAAUGGCAAGUAUAAGUAUGACUAUGCGACCAUUCCAUUUCUCGCAGAAUUCUUCAAGUUGUCAGUCUCGAGCUUCUUUCUUUGGAAAGAAUGCCAGUCUUCAUCACCACCAAGGAUGACAAAGGAGUGGAAAAGUGUGCGACUAUAUCUUGUUCCUUCAGUCAUAUACCUCAUCCACAACAAUGUGCAGUUUGCGACCUUGACUUAUGUUGAUCCAUCGACCUAUCAGAUAUUGGGGAACCUGAAAAUUGUUACAACUGGAAUUUUGUUCAGGCUUGUCUUAAAGAGGAAAUUAUCAAAUCUACAAUGGAUGGCAAUUAUUUUACUUGCUGUGGGCACUACUACAAGCCAGGUCAAGGGAUGUGGAGAUGCACCAUGUGAUUCGGUUUUCUCAGCACCAUUCCAGGGUUACAUGCUUGGGAUACUUUCUGCUUGUCUUUCUGCACUAGCUGGAGUCUACACUGAGUACUUGAUGAAGAAGAAUAGUGAUAGUCUGUACUGGCAAAAUGUACAAUUAUAUACGUUUGGAGUUAUCUUCAACAUGGGUUGGCUUGUCUAUGGUGACUUCAAGGCUGGGUUUGAGAUGGGUCCAUGGUGGCAGCGUCUUUUUAAUGGCUAUUCCAUCACAACAUGGAUAGUUGUGUUCAACUUAGGGUCUACCGGUCUGCUAGUGUCAUGGCUGAUGAAGUAUUCUGACAACAUAGUAAAGGUGUACUCAACUUCAAUGGCCAUGCUUUUAACAAUGGUUUUGUCUGUAUAUCUUUUCAACGUGAGAGCUACAGUUCAGCUUUUCUUGGGCAUUGUCAUCUGCAUAAUUUCCCUCCAGAUGUAUUUUAUGCCUGUACACACGCUAGUUGAAUUGCCACAAACAUUGCCAGCUACAGCGAAGUAG